GACGAACGCUGGCGGCGUGCUUAACACAUGCAAGUCGAACGGAAAGGCCCUGCUUUUGUGGGGUGCUCGAGUGGCGAACGGGUGAGUAACACGUGAGUAACCUGCCCUUGACUUUGGGAUAACUUCAGGAAACUGGGGCUAAUACCGGAUAGGAGCUCCUGCUGCAUGGUGGGGGUUGGAAAGUUUCGGCGGUUGGGGAUGGACUCGCGGCUUAUCAGCUUGUUGGUGGGGUAGUGGCUUACCAAGGCUUUGACGGGUAGCCGGCCUGAGAGGGUGACCGGCCACAUUGGGAAUGAGAUACGGCCCAGACUCCUACGGGAGGCAGCAGUGGGGAAUAUUGCACAAUGGGCGGAAGCCUGAUGCAGCAACGCCGCGUGCGGGAUGACGGCCUUCGGGUUGUAAACCGCUUUCGCCUGUGACGAAGCGUGAGUGACGGUAAUGGGUAAAGAAGCACCGGCGAACUACGU
rnacentral:rRNA from 1 species